rnacentral:rRNA from 2 species
GGGUUGUGAGGUUAAGCGACUAAGCGUACACGGUGGAUGCCCUGGCAGUCAGAGGCGAUGAAGGGCGUGCUAAUCUGCGAUAAGCGCCGGUAAGGUGAUAUGAACCGUUAUAACCGGCGAUACCCGAAUGGGGAAACCCAGUGUGACUCGUCACACUAUCAUUAACUGAAUCCAUAGGUUAAUGAGGCGAACCGGGGGAACUGAAACAUCUAAGUACCCCGAGGAAAAGAAAUCAACCGAGAUUCCCCCAGUAGCGGCGAGCGAACGGGGAGGAGCCCAGAGCCUGAAUCAGCAUGUGUGUUAGUGGAAGCGUCUGGAAAGGCGCGCGAUACAGGGUGACAGCCCCGUACACAAAAGCGCAUGUGCUGUGAGCUCGAUGAGUAGGGCGGGACACGUGGUAUCCUGUCUGAAUAUGGGGGGACCAUCCUCCAAGGCUAAAUACUCCUGACUGACCGAUAGUGAACCAGUACCGUGAGGGAAAGGCGAAAAGAACCCCGGCGAGGGGAGUGAAAAAGAACCUGAAACCGUGUACGUACAAGCAGUGGGAGCACAGGUUUACCUGUGUGACUGCGUACCUUUUGUAUAAUGGGUCAGCGACUUAUAUUCUGUAGCAAGGUUAACCGUAUAGGGGAGCCGUAGGGAAACCGAGUCUUAACCGGGCGUUAAGUUGCAGGGUAUAGACCCGAAACCCGGUGAUCUAGCCAUGGGCAGGUUGAAGGUUGGGUAACACUAACUGGAGGACCGAACCGACUAAUGUUGAAAAAUUAGCGGAUGACCUGUGGCUGGGGGUGAAAGGCCAAUCAAACCGGGAGAUAGCUGGUUCUCCCCGAAAGCUAUUUAGGUAGCGCCUCGUGAAUUCAUCUCCGGGGGUAGAGCACUGUUUCGGCUAGGGGGCCAUCCCGGCUUACCAACCCGAUGCAAACUGCGAAUACCGGAGAAUGUUAUCACGGGAGACACACGGCGGGUGCUAACGUCCGUCGUGAAGAGGGAAACAACCCAGACCGCCAGCUAAGGUCCCAAAGUCAUGGUUAAGUGGGAAACGAUGUGGGAAGGCCCAGACAGCCAGGAUGUUGGCUUAGAAGCAGCCAUCAUUUAAAGAAAGCGUAAUAGCUCACUGGUCGAGUCGGCCUGCGCGGAAGAUGUAACGGGGCUAAACCAUGCACCGAAGCUGCGGCAGCGACGCUGAUGCGUUGUUGGGUAGGGGAGCGUUCUGUAAGCCUGUGAAGGUGGCCUGUGAGGGUUGCUGGAGGUAUCAGAAGUGCGAAUGCUGACAUAAGUAACGAUAAAGCGGGUGAAAAGCCCGCUCGCCGGAAGACCAAGGGUUCCUGUCCAACGUUAAUCGGGGCAGGGUGAGUCGACCCCUAAGGCGAGGCCGAAAGGCGUAGUCGAUGGGAAACGGGUUAAUAUUCCCGUACUUGGUGUUACUGCGAAGGGGGGACGGAGAAGGCUAUGUUGGCCGGGCGACGGUUGUCCCGGUUUAAGCGUGUAGGUGUGUGUUCCAGGUAAAUCCGGUUCACUUUAACACUGAGGCGUGAUGACGAGGCACUACGGUGCUGAAGCAACAAAUGCCCUGCUUCCAGGAAAAGUCUCUAAGCAUCAGGUAACAUCAAAUCGUACCCCAAACCGACACAGGUGGUCAGGUAGAGAAUACCAAGGCGCUUGAGAGAACUCGGGUGAAGGAACUAGGCAAAAUGGUGCCGUAACUUCGGGAGAAGGCACGCUGACACGUAGGUGAAGUGAUUUACUCAUGGAGCUGAAGUCAGUCGAAGAUACCAGCUGGCUGCAACUGUUUAUUAAAAACACAGCACUGUGCAAACACGAAAGUGGACGUAUACGGUGUGACGCCUGCCCGGUGCCGGAAGGUUAAUUGAUGGGGUCAGCGCAAGCGAAGCUCCUGAUCGAAGCCCCGGUAAACGGCGGCCGUAACUAUAACGGUCCUAAGGUAGCGAAAUUCCUUGUCGGGUAAGUUCCGACCUGCACGAAUGGCGUAAUGAUGGCCAGGCUGUCUCCACCCGAGACUCAGUGAAAUUGAACUCGCUGUGAAGAUGCAGUGUACCCGCGGCAAGACGGAAAGACCCCGUGAACCUUUACUAUAGCUUGACACUGAACAUUGAGCCUUGAUGUGUAGGAUAGGUGGGAGGCUUUGAAGCGUGGACGCCAGUCUGCAUGGAGCCGGCCUUGAAAUACCACCCUUUAAUGUUUGAUGUUCUAACGUGGACCCGUGAUCCGGGUUGCGGACAGUGUCUGGUGGGUAGUUUGACUGGGGCGGUCUCCUCCUAAAGAGUAACGGAGGAGCACGAAGGUUGGCUAAUCCUGGUCGGACAUCAGGAGGUUAGUGCAAUGGCAUAAGCCAGCUUGACUGCGAGCGUGACGGCGCGAGCAGGUGCGAAAGCAGGUCAUAGUGAUCCGGUGGUUCUGAAUGGAAGGGCCAUCGCUCAACGGAUAAAAGGUACUCCGGGGAUAACAGGCUGAUACCGCCCAAGAGUUCAUAUCGACGGCGGUGUUUGGCACCUCGAUGUCGGCUCAUCACAUCCUGGGGCUGAAGUAGGUCCCAAGGGUAUGGCUGUUCGCCAUUUAAAGUGGUACGCGAGCUGGGUUUAGAACGUCGUGAGACAGUUCGGUCCCUAUCUGCCGUGGGCGCUGGAGAACUGAGGGGGGCUGCUCCUAGUACGAGAGGACCGGAGUGGACGCAUCACUGGUGUUCGGGUUGUCAUGCCAAUGGCACUGCCCGGUAGCUAAAUGCGGAAGAGAUAAGUGCUGAAAGCAUCUAAGCACGAAACUUGCCCCGAGAUGAGUUCUCCCUGAGACUUAGAGUCUCCUGAAGGAACGUUGAAGACGACGACGUUGAUAGGCCGGGUGUGUAAGCGCAGCGAUGCGUUGAGCUAACCGGUACUAAUGAACCGUGAGGCUUAACCUUACAACGCCGAAG